rnacentral:rRNA from 1 species
CCUACGGGGGGCAGCAGUGGGGAAUAUUGCGCAAUGGGCGAAAGCCUGACGCAGCGACGCCGCGUGAGGGAUGAAGGUCUUCGGAUCGUAAACCUCUGUCAGCAGGGAAGAACGGUCACUGUGCUAAUCAGCAGUGAAUUGACGGUACCUGCAAAGGAAGCACCGGCUAACUCCGUGCCAGCAGCCGCGGUAAUACGGAGGGUGCGAGCGUUAAUCGGAAUUACUGGGCGUAAAGCGCUCGUAGGCGGUAUGUCAAGUCAAGGGUGAAAUCCCCGCGCUCAACGUGGGAACUGCCUUUGAAACUGGCAAACUGGAGUGUGUGAGAGGAUAGUGGAAUUCCAGGUGUAGGAGGGAAAGCCGGAGAUAUCUGGAGGAACAUCAGUGGCGAAGGCGACUAUCUGGCACAUAACUGACGCUGAGGAGCGAAAGCGUGGGUAGCAAACAGGAUUAGAUACCCUAGUAGUC